UGCAAUUUUUUUUUCUGUUUUUUCUUCCAUUCUCUUUUUCAGAUUAAAAAAGCUGGAUGUUUAUGAAGAUAAAUUUGGAAUAUUCAAAUGAAUCAAUUAAGAGGGCAAAAAGAGGCCUCUUUGAUUUUGGAGCAUUGCUUAAUGUCAACAGUAUGACAUAAGGCCAGUUUCUCAUUGAAGACUGCAGCGCCAUGCUUUGAAUUUUCCAUCACAUCCCAUCACUCCCCCUCCAUCAGUUAGUCGCAUGUUGCAAAAGGGUCUUCCCUGAGAUCAUGGAUCGAUGCUUCUGUUCUGUGCUGAGCUCCAGGGGGUGGAAAGUUGCCGCUCGAAAUGGCUGGAGCG